rnacentral:rRNA from 1 species
UACAGAGGUCUCAAGCGUUGUUCGGAUUCAUUGGGCGUAAAGGGUGCGUAGGUGGCGCCGUAAGUCAGGUGUGAAAUUUCGGAGCUCAACUCCGAAACUGCAUUGAUACUGCGGUGCUUGAGGACUGGAGAGGAGACUGGAAUCACGGUGUAGCAGUGAAAUGCGUAGAUAUCGUGAGGAAGACCAGUGGCGAAGGCGGGUCUCUGGAC